UGGGGAAUUUUUGGACAAUGGGCGAAAGCCUGAUCCAGCAAUGCCGCGUGUGUGAAGAAGGCCUUCGGGUUGUAAAGCACUUUUGUCCGGAAAGAAAUCCUUGGCUCUAAUACAGUCGGGGGAUGACGGUACCGGAAGAAUAAGCACCGGCUAACUACGUGCCAGCAGCCGCGGUAAUACGUAGGGUGCAAGCGUUAAUCGGAAUUACUGGGCGUAAAGCGUGCGCAGGCGGUUUGCUAAGACCGAUGUGAAAUCCCCGGGCUCAACCUGGGAACUGCAUUGGUGACUGGCAGGCUAGAGUAUGGCAGAGGGGGGUAGAAUUCCACGUGUAGCAGUGAAAUGCGUAGAGAUGUGGAGGAAUACCGAUGGCGAAGGCAGCCCCCUGGGCCAAUACUGACGCUCAUGCACGAAAGCGUGGGGAGCAAACAGGAUUAGAUACCCCUGGUAGUCCACGCCCUAAACGAUGUCAACUAGUUGUUGGGGAUUCAUUUCCUUAGUAACGUAGCUAACGCGUGAAGUUGACCGCCUGGGGAGUACGGUCGCAAGAUUAAAACUCAAAUGAAUUGACGGGGUCAUAGCUGUUUCC
rnacentral:rRNA from 1 species